AGUUGUGAUAGUGCUGUCGGCUAACGCGAAAUGCUACUACUAUAUUCCGUGGAUGUUUAUUGAUAUAUAAAUGUGUUAUGGACUAAAUACUUCAUUGAAUUGGAUUGUAUGGACCCUUUACAGUGUAACCAAACCAUUUUUGUUGGAAUGUAAUGGAUCAGUGGAAUAACAGGAGGCAUCAUGGGUCGUCAUACAUCUCCCUGACACAUGGAGACCUCCUGCAGUAGGCCACGUAAUGUCCAAGAGCAUCCUGGGUUAAGCCUCUUUUGAAAGCAAUGAUUGUCCUUAAAGCAAAUCUCUCUCCUUGGAGCAUCAGAUUGGAGGGAAAUUCACACAAAGGAAAUUCUGUGGAGUUGCUUCCCAGGUCAGUGUCAAUCCACAGAAGUUAUCCCAGACUGUAACUGUGAGAAACUUUCCCUGCACAGAGCCCUUUUCCUGAGGUAUCUGUUGUAGCGUGGCCACAUAAGGGGAUGUUUUAUAUAUAAGGAUUAUGGCAUUAAACUAAUUAUUGUUGUCAUUAUUGCCUAUUAGUUAUAUUGCUUUCUCCUGUUAUCUGUUAUUCCCUCAGCUGUUGUGUGUUUAUCCCCAUCUCUGUUCACACGAGAUCUUCGCGUUGUUUUGUGUUACGUGUUUUCCUGCCACAUAAACAGGAAGUAUCUUUCACUUUCUAUUUAAGGAACCGCUAUGCCGGUUUUCAGAUGCUCAUUUGCGAGUACGCUUACACAAAACUUCAUUCAUACAUUGGAUUACACUGGUGACUGACCUGGAAGCGCUGAGACGCCGUUCCUCUCGUGGAGUAUAUUCGUUUGGCUCGCAGCCUGGAUUACUUUUAUCAGAGGACAUUGGCCAGUCAUCAUUACUUCAUCACUUGAUCGUGCUCACGGACUAUCAAAAAACCCGGUGAGGCUGAUCUGAACACUGUAAAUAACUCUGGGCACUCUGGAUUUCACUUUUACAUGUAUAUACACCUUGUUUGUUAUUGUUGUAAAUAUUAUUGGUUUGUAAAUACACUUGAGGUUAUUGGUUGUUUCAUCAGUGUUGAGUAAUAUUUUUUUACUCUACUCCAUUACCUUGCAAUAGAAACGGUACUGGUGUUCCCAAAAUAGUGUAAACUCCACUUAAAGAUUUUGGGGAAUUUUACAUAGUGGUGGCCCGUACGGGGACUACGUGCUGUUUCUUUUUGGUUAUAGUGGUUUUUUUUUGUGUGUCCAUAAAUAUGGAGGAAGAGACACAGGUAAAUGGAGCAGUAAUUAAGGUACAUACUGAGACUGAUGUGCAUGAGUUAAGGUGUAGCUCUGAUGAAACUGAGGAUGCUGAUUUCACUGCGGGCCCGUUUGUUACCAGACGUAACCCGACAGAUGAAAUAGCAUCUAUACUAAGUUCUUUAUAUAAUUCUGAUGAAGAUGCUGAUGAUGAUGAUGAAAGAGAAGUAGUGAAUAUAAAUGUUGUACAGACAAUGCAGAUGGAGAUUGAUAAACUUAAGGUGGAUUUAUUGGCUCUUAAUGCAAAAAUACAACAUAAUGAACAGGAAUUAAACCAGUCUGUAGAUAGUUCCCUUAAUAGGGAAACUAGUUUCCGGGAGGCAGUGGACGCUGGCUUAGCAGACUUAGAAGAUCAUUUCCAGAGGUCUGUAGAGAAGUUGGAGAGAGCGGUGGUUGAUUGUUUCCUGCGGAGAGUAUAGUAUAUUUUUCAAUAUUCUAGUAUGUUUCUUAUAUAUAAAAAUACUUAUAUGAGUUUCCUGGCCUUUGUGUGACCCAGGAGAGAGCAUAUGAGGUUACUAAAAGUGUUGAUGCUGCAGAGGCCACAAAGAGCACCCAGCUGUAACAAAAUAAUGAGACUAAGGACCUUGAAGAUAGACUAAAGCCAAGUUUCUACCAGUAAAAAGAUAUCAAAAGGCUCUGUGAGAUAAUGGUGGCAAAUAGUAUCCAUUGGUUACAAAAAUAACAAAGAGGCACAGAAAUGAGGUAAUGCCAGAUAACAAACUGUAUAGAAGAGGAGGUUUUGGACUAAGACAGUCAGAACGGACAGCUGGCCGGUCUCAUGUUUGUUGGUGUUCAAUAAACUACAACUUUGGCAUCUGGAA